rnacentral:rRNA from 1 species
GAUGAACGCUAGCGGCAGGCUUAACACAUGCAAGUCGAGGGGUAGAAGGAGCUUGCUCCUUUGAGACCGGCGCACGGGUGCGUAACGCGUAUGCAAUCUACCUUUUGCAGAGGAUAGCCCAGAGAAAUUUGGAUUAAUACCUCAUAGUAUGUGAGGAUGGCAUCAUUUUCACAUUAAAGUCACAACGGCAAAAGAUGAGCAUGCGUCCCAUUAGCUAGUUGGUAAGGUAACGGCUUACCAAGGCUACGAUGGGUAGGGGUCCUGAGAGGGAGAUCCCCCACACUGGUACUGAGACACGGACCAGACUCCUACGGGAGGCAGCAGUGAGGAAUAUUGGACAAUGGGCGCAAGCCUGAUCCAGCCAUGCCGCGUGCAGGAUGACGGUCCUAUGGAUUGUAAACUGCUUUUGUACAGGAAGAAACACUACUUCGUGAAGUAGCUUGACGGUACUGUAAGAAUAAGGAUCGGCUAACUCCGU